GGGGGGGGGGGGGGGGGGGGGUGGGGCGGGGGGGGCGGGGGGGGGCUGGGGGGCGGGUGGCGCAGGGGUGCGUGAGGGGUGGGGAGCUGCCGUUAGGUGCGGGAUAACUCGCCGGAAGGGGUGCUAAUACCGUGUAGUGUGUUGUGACGAAAGGUUUAGCGCCUUGGGAUGGGGCCGCGUUGGAUUAUCUAGUUGGUAGGGUAAAAGCCUACCAAGGCGACGAUCCAUAGCUGGUCUGAGAGGCUGAUCCGCCACAAUGGGAAUGAGACACGGCCCAGACUCCUACGGGAGGCAGCAGUGGGGAAUAUUGGACAAUGGGCGAAAUCCUGAUCCAGCAAUGCCGCGUGAGUGAUGAAGGCCUUAGGGUUGUAAAGCUCUUUUACCCGGGAUGAUAAUGACAGUACCGGGAGAAUAAGCUCCGGCUAACUCCGUG
rnacentral:rRNA from 1 species